GACGAACGCUGGCGGCGUGCUUGACACAUGCAAGUCGAACGGAAAGGCCCUGCUGUUGUGGGGUGCUCGAGUGGCGAACGGGUGAGUAACACGUGAGUAACCUGCCCUUGACUUUUGGAUAACUUCAGGAAACUGGGGCUAAUACCGGAUAGGAGCUCCUGCUGCAUGGUGGGGGUUGGAAAGUUUCGGCGGUUGGGGAUGGACUCGCGGCUUAUCAGCUUGUUGGUGGGGUAGUGGCUUACCAAGGCUUUGACGGGUAGCCGGCCUGAGAGGGUGACCGGCCACAUUGGGACUGAGAUACGGCCCAGACUCCUACGGGAGGCAGCAGUGGGGAAUAUUGCACAAUGGGCGGAAGCCUGAUGCAGCAACGCCGCGUGCGGGAUGACGGCCUUCGGGUUGUAAACCGCUUUCGCCUGUGACGAAGCGUGAGUGACGGUAAUGGGUAAAGAAGCACCGGCUAACUACGUG
rnacentral:rRNA from 1 species